ACUCCUACGGGAGGCAGCAGUGGGGGAAUUUUGGACAAUGGGCGAAAGCCUGAUCCAGCCAUUCCGCGUGCAGGAUGAAGGCCCUCGGGUUGUAAACUGCUUUUGUACAGAACGAAAAAGCUCUGGCUAAUACCUGGAGUCCAUGACGGUACUGUAAGAAUAAGCACCGGGCUAACUACGUGCCAGCAGCCGCGGUAAUG
rnacentral:rRNA from 1 species